rnacentral:rRNA from 1 species
UGGGGAAUUUUGGACAAUGGGCGAAAGCCUGAUCCAGCAAUGCCGCGUGUGUGAAGAAGGCCUUCGGGUUGUAAAGCACUUUUGUCCGGAAAGAAAUCCUUGGCUCUAAUACAGUCGGGGGAUGACGGUACCGGAAGAAUAAGCACCGGCUAACUACGUGCCAGCAGCCGCGGUAAUACGUAGGGUGCAAGCGUUAAUCGGAAUUACUGGGCGUAAAGCGUGCGCAGGCGGUUUGCUAAGACCGAUGUGAAAUCCCCGGGCUCAACCUGGGAACUGCAUUGGUGACUGGCAGGCUAGAGUAUGGCAGAGGGGGGUAGAAUUCCACGUGUAGCAGUGAAAUGCGUAGAGAUGUGGAGGAAUACCGAUGGCGAAGGCAGCCCCCUGGGCCAAUACUGACGCUCAUGCACGAAAGCGUGGGGAGCAAACAGGAUUAGAUACCCUGGUAGUCCACGCCCUAAACGAUGUCAACUAGUUGUUGGGGAUUCAUUUCCUUAGUAACGUAGCUAACGCGUAAAGUUGACCGCCUGGGGAGUACGGUCGCAAGAUUAAAACUCAAUGAAUUGACGGGGUCAUAGCUGUUUCCU